rnacentral:rRNA from 1 species
GACGGAGGAUGCAAGUGUUAUCCGGAAUCACUGGGCGUAAAGCGUCUGUAGGUCGUUUAACAAGUCUACUGUUAAAAAUUGAGGCUUAACUUCAAAGGUGCCGUAGAAACUUUUAAACUUGAGGAUGGUAGGGGUAGAGGGAAUUUCCAGUGGAGCGGUGAAAUGCGUAGAUAUUGGAAAGACCACCAACGGCGAAGGCACUCUACUGGGCCAUUACUGACACUGAGAGACGAAAGCUAGGGGAGCAAAUGGG